rnacentral:misc_RNA from 1 species
AGACGUGCAAUUUCAUUCGAUACAAACAAGAGCUAAAAGCCAUUCAAUAUAAUGGAUUUCAUUAUGGUAUAAAAAAUUAUGUUGAUAUUUGGAUAAUUUUCUUUUACUUUCAUAAAUAAACUGCUCUUUCCAGUUUAUAUAAGUCACAUUAUUUCAACUUCUUAAUUAAUAAUUACUAAAUAGUUUUUAUUUAUCCAAUCUAAUUGCAAAUAUUUUUUUGCAAGAUAUUUACAAAUAUGUUGAAACUAGAAUCAUUUGAUUAUGUUUCAAAUUUUCUUGAAUAUAUAAAAAUUUUAUAUUUUUUACAUUUUUAAAUGGAUGUCAAUAUUUUUCUUAUUUCUAUCAAAAUUUCAACAUAUCCACAUAUUUUGGAACUCUUAACCAUAGAAAUAUCAAAGGCCUUGCUUGGGCAUCUCCUUAUGGCACAUUCUAA